rnacentral:rRNA from 1 species
GAUGAACGCUAGCUACAGGCUUAACACAUGCAAGUCGAGGGGUAACGAGAGGAAAGCUUGCUUUCCUUGUCGACGACCGGCGCACGGGUGAGUAACGCGUAUCCAACCUGCCCCCAACUAGGGAAUAACCUUGCGAAAGUAAGACUAAUACCCUAUAAUUUCCUCAGAUGUCAUCUGACGAGGAAUAAAGAUUUAUCGGUUGUGGAUGGGGAUGCGUCUGAUUAGCUUGUUGGCGGGGUAACGGCCCACCAAGGCAACGAUCAGUAGGGGUUCUGAGGGGAAGGUCCCCCACAUUGGAACUGAGACACGGUCCAAACUCCGACGGGAGGCAGCAGUGAGGAAUAUUGGUCAAUGGGCGGAAGCCUGAACCAGCCAAGUAGCGUGCAGGAUGACGGCCCUAUGGGUUGUAAACUGCUUUUAUACAGGAAUAAAGUUAGCCACGUGUGGUUAUUUGUAGGUACUGUAUGAAUAAGGACCGGCUAAUUCCGUGCCAGCCGCCGCAGUAA